rnacentral:rRNA from 1 species
CCUACGGGGGGCAGCAGUGAGGAAUAUUGGUCAAUGGACGGGAGUCUGAACCAGCCAAGUAGCGUGAAGGAUGACUGCCCUAUGGGUUGUAAACUUCUUUUAUAUGGGAAUAAAAUGUUCCACGUGUGGGAUUUUGUAUGUACCAUAUGAAUAAGGAUCGGCUAACUCCGUGCCAGCAGCCGCGGUAAUACGGAGGAUCCGAGCGUUAUCCGGAUUUAUUGGGUUUAAAGGGAGCGUAGGUGGAUUGUUAAGUCAGUUGUGAAAGUUUGCGGCUCAACCGUAAAAUUGCAGUUGAAACUGGCAGGCUUGAGUACAGUAGAGGUGGGCGGAAUUCGUGGUGUAGCGGUGAAAUGCUUAGAUAUCACGAAGAACUCCGAUUGCGAAGGCAGCUCACUGGACUGCAACUGACACUGAGGCUCGAAAGUGUGGGUAUCAAACAGGAUUAGAUACCCCAGUAGUC